UCUCAUAGAUAGCUCAAAUCUUUUUUGACUUUAGAUUUUUUUUCUCUGGCUGUUUUUGCUGGUCUAUGUUUUCUAAUGAACUAAAUAGUCAUUUAACUUGUCCCCCAAUUUCUCUUGUAUUUAUCAGGACUGCACUAAAUAUAUACAGUAAUAUCUGGUACCUGAAUGUAGACAGAAAUCACAUUUUUAUGAUACUGAGUCUUCUUUCUUUCACAGUUCCUCUCCCACGAGGUCAGGCACUCAGAUUUCCCUUUUGCUCCUCUGUGUACUCCAAAGGGCUGGCCCAGAGCCUGGCAUAUGCUGGUGCUUGACUCUUACUUGCAGAAUGAAUGAUGAAUUAUUGAAUGAGUUCUACUUCUGAUGUGCAAGCUUCAUAACAAGGCAUUUCUGAAGGAAGAGGAAGAAAGUAAGCAAGUCCCUGGAAAACGUUCUACAAGGCUGUCUAAAACAUACACCGAGAUGGUUUUACCCAUGCUUAUGCAACCUCCUGUUUUGGAUAUUCAGCUGGAUACAAACCUUCAGAAUCUUUUCA